rnacentral:rRNA from 1 species
GCAAGCAGAUCUCCUUCGGGAGUGACGCUUGUGGAACGAGCGGCGGACGGGUGAGUAACACGUGGGCAACCUACCUGUAAGACUGGGAUAACUCCGGGAAACCGGGGCUAAUACCGGAUGAAACAAAGCGUCGCAUGACGCAAUGUUAAAAGGCGGCAUAUGCUGUCACUUACAGAUGGGCCCGCGGCGCAUUAGCUAGUUGGUGAGGUAAAGGCUCACCAAGGCAACGAUGCGUAGCCGACCUGAGAGGGUGAUCGGCCACACUGGGACUGAGACACGGCCCAGACUCCUACGGGAGGCAGCAGUAGGGAAUCUUCCGCAAUGGACGAAAGUCUGACGGAGCAACGCCGCGUGAGUGAUGAAGGUUUUCGGAUCGUAAAACUCUGUUGUUAGGGAAGAACAAGUGCCAUUCAAAUAGGUUGGCACCUUGACGGUACCUAACCAGAAAGCCCCGGCUAACUACGUGCCAGCAGCCGCGGUAAUACGUAGGGGGCAAGCGUUGUCCGGAAUUAUUGGGCGUAAAGCGCGCGCAGGCGGUCCUUUAAGUCUGAUGUGAAAGCCCACGGCUUAACCGUGGAGGGCCAUUGGAAACUGGAGGACUUGAGUACAGAAGAGGAGAGUGGAAUUCCACGUGUAGCGGUGAAAUGCGUAGAGAUGUGGAGGAACACCAGUGGCGAAGGCGACUCUCUGGUCUGUAACUGACGCUGAGGUGCGAAAGCGUGGGUAGCGAACAGGAUUAGAUACCCUGGUAGUCCACGCCGUAAACGAUGAGUGCUAGGUGUUAGGGGGUUUCCGCCCCUUAGUGCUGAAGUUAACGCAUUAAGCACUCCGCCUGGGGAGUACGGCCGCAAGGCUGAAACUCAAAAGAAUUUGACGGGGACCCGCACAAGCGGUGGAGCAUGUGGUUUAAUUCGAGCACGCGAGACUUACAGUCUGGACAUCUCUGACACCCCUAGAGAUAGGCAUCCCUCGGGACGAUGACAGUGGUGCAUGAUGUCGUCAGCUCUUCCUGAAUGUAGUAAGUCCGCAACGAGCCAUCCUGACUUAGUGCGAACUAGUGCACUU